rnacentral:rRNA from 1 species
GAUGAACGCUAGCUACAGGCUUAACACAUGCAAGUCGAGGGGCAUCACAGUGUAGCAAUACACGGGUGGCGACCGGCGCACGGGUGCGUAACACGUAUCCAAUCUGCCCGUUACUCGGGGAUAGCCUUCUGAAAGGAAGAUUAAUACCCGAUGGCAUGUAUUUCCGGCAUCGGAGAUACAUUAAAGAUUUAUCGGUAACGGAUGAGGAUGCGUACGAUUAGCUUGUUGGCGGGGUAACGGCCCACCAAGGCUACGAUCGUUAGGGGUUCUGAGAGGAAGGUCCCCCACACUGGAACUGAGACACGGUCCAGACUCCUACGGGAGGCAGCAGUGAGGAAUAUUGGUCAAUGGUCAGACGACUGAACCAGCCAUGCCGCGUGAAGGUGACGGCCCUAUGGGUCUUAAACUUCUUUUGUAAGGGAGCAAUAAGGGUCACGUGUGGCCUGAUGAGAGUACCUUACGAAUAAGCAUCGGCUAACUCCGUG